GACGAACGCUGGCGGCGUGCUUAACACAUGCAAGUCGAACGAAGUGGCGGACGGGUGAGUAACGCGUGAGUAACUGCCCCCCUCUCUGGGAUAACAGUUGGAAACGGCUGCUAAUACCGGAUAGUGGGGGCUGACUCGCGUCCUAUCCGCUUGUUGGUGGGGUAGUGGCCUACCAAGGCGACGACGGGUAGCCGGCCUGGGAGGGCGACCGGGGACAGUGGGCUGCGAGACGGCGCAAACUGCUACGGUGGGCAGCAGUGGGGAAUAUUGCACAAUGGGGGCAACCCUGAGGCAGCAACGCGGGUUUGGGAUGACGGCUUUGGGGUUGUAAACCGCUUUCAGCCAUGACGCGGUAGUGGCAGAAGAAGCACCGGCUAACUACGUGCCAGCAGCCGCGGUAAUUC
rnacentral:rRNA from 1 species